rnacentral:rRNA from 1 species
UACAGAGGGUGCGAGCGUUGUCCGGAAUCACUGGGCGUAAAGGGCGCGUAGGUGGCGGGGUAAGCGGGGGGUGAAAGCCCGGGGCUCAACCCCGUGUCUGCCAUGCGGACUGUCUUGCUCGAGCGUAGUAGAGGCAGGUGGAAUUCCGGGUGUAGCGGUGGAAUGCGUAGAGAUCCGGAAGAACACCGGUGGCGAAGGCGGCCUGCUGGGCUACUGCUGACACUGAGGCGCGACAGCGUGGGGAGCAAACAGG